UACGUAGGCAGCGAGCGUUGUUCGGAGUUACUGGGCGUAAAGCGUGCGUAGGCGGUGGUCCAAGUCUGGUGUGAAAUCUCCCGGCUCAACUGGGAGGGUGCGCCGGAAACUGGGCCGCUGGAGUACGGGAGAGGCAAGCGGAAUUCCAGGUGUAGCGGUGAAAUGCGUAGAUAUCGGGAGGAACACCAGUGGCGAAGGCGACUACCUGGCCUGUUCUUGACGCUGAGGCGCGAAAGCUAGGGGAGCAAACGGGG
rnacentral:rRNA from 1 species